rnacentral:rRNA from 1 species
AGAGUUUGAUCCUGGCUCAGGACGAACGCUGGCGGCACGCUUAACACAUGCAAGUCGAACGAGAGAAGAGGAGCUUGCUUUUCUGAUCUAGUGGCGGACGGGUGAGUAACACGUGAGCAAUCUGCCUUUCAGAGGGGGAUACCGAUUGGAAACGAUCGUUAAUACCGCAUAACAUAAUUGAACCGCAUGAUUUGAUUAUCAAAGAUUUAUCGCUGAAAGAUGAGCUCGCGUCUGAUUAGCUAGUUGGUAAGGUAACGGCUUACCAAGGCGACGAUCAGUAGCCGGACUGAGAGGUUGAUCGGCCACAUUGGGACUGAGACACGGCCCAGACUCCUACGGGAGGCAGCAGUGGGGAAUAUUGCACAAUGGAGGAAACUCUGAUGCAGCGAUGCCGCGUGAGGGAAGAAGGUUUUAGGAUUGUAAACCUCUGUCUUCAGGGACGAAAAAAGACGGUACCUGAGGAGGAAGCUCCGGCUAACUACGUGCCAGCAGCCGCGGUAAUACGUAGGGAGCGAGCGUUGUCCGGAAUUACUGGGUGUAAAGGGAGCGUAGGCGGGAUCGCAAGUCAGAUGUGAAAACUAUGGGCUUAACCCAUAAACUGCAUUUGAAACUGCGGUUCUUGAGUGAAGUAGAGGUAAGCGGAAUUCCUAGUGUAGCGGUGAAAUGCGUAGAUAUUAGGAGGAACAUCAGUGGCGAAGGCGGCUUACUGGGCUUUAACUGACGCUGAGGCUCGAAAGCGUGGGGAGCAAACAGGAUUAGAUACCCUGGUAGUCCACGCCGUAAACGAUGAUUACUAGGUGUGGGGGGACUGACCCCUUCCGUGCCGCAGCAAACGCAAUAAGUAAUCCACCUGGGGAGUACGACCGCAAGGUUGAAACUCAAAGGAAUUGACGGGGGCCCGCACAAGCAGUGGAGUAUGUGGAUUAAUUCGAAGCAACGCGAAGAACCUUACCAGGUCUUGACAUCGUAUGCAUAGCUCAGAGAUGAGUGAAAUCUCUUCGGAGACAUAUAGACAGGUGGUGCAUGGUUGUCGUCAGCUCGUGUCGCGAGAUGUUGGGUUAAGUCCCGCAACGAGCGCAACCCUUACUGUUAGUUGCUACGCAAGAGCACUCUAGCAGGACUGCCGUUGACAAAACGGAGGAAGGUGGGGAUGACGUCAAAUCAUCAUGCCCCUUAUGACCUGGGCCUCACACGUACUACAAUGGCUGUCAACAGAGGGAAGCAAAGCCGCGAGGUGGAGCGAACCCCUAAAAGCAGUCUUAGUUCGGAUUGUAGGCUGCAACCCGCCUACAUGAAGUCGGAAUUGCUAGUAAUCGCAGAUCAGCAUGCUGCGGUGAAUACGUUCCCGGGCCUUGUACACACCGCCCGUCACGCCAUGGGAGUCGGUAACACCCGAAGCCUGUAGUCUAACCGCAAGGAGGACGCAGUCGAAGGUGGGAUUGAUGACUGGGGUGAAGUCGUAACAAGGUA